UCGUCUCGAGAUUCUUCUACGCUCGACUCUUCUCACCCCUCACUUUAUUCGCUUCUCAAACCGAUUCUUGAUAAGUUGCCUAAGGAGUGCCAUCCAAAAGACCCUUUGAUUGGCAGCGGGCUAUCUAAAAGAUCCAUUGACACCAUCAAAUUGGUGGAACCGGAUGAAUAUGAAAUUAUUGUUGAAAUAUGUGAGAUGGCACUUGAUCAUUACCGGACAAGUCAUCCAGAAAAAUUGCAUGAGUUUGAGUUUGAGUACGUGCAUGAGCUAUUUACUAGGCUUGUGGCUGGGUGGGAAUAUAACCUUAAAUUUUCAGCCAAAAAUAUGAGGGAGGAAGGUAAUCCGUCAGCAAUGUUUCAGGCUGUUGGCUAUUGCCUUGUAGGAAGGGAACUCAGUGUAUUAGAAUGUACCCUGGUGGAAUAGGUCUUCGAAACGGGAGUUGAAUGGCGGUGAUAAUGUGAUACAGUGGCUGAUUUGACUUUGGAGCAUGCAUGCUGUUGGCGGUGGGAGUUUGGGACAUUUAUAUUGAUGGUUUAUUAAUCAUAAGUAGUCUGAUUAUGACUUUAUUAUGACUUCAUAUAUCCUUCUUUGUA